GUGCCUGUUUGAUAGCACACAUACUAAAAUUGGAAUGAUACAGAGAAGAUUAUCAUGGCCCCUGCUCAAGGAUGACAUGCAAAUUGGUGAAGCAUUCCAUAUUUUU
ensembl:snRNA U6 U6 spliceosomal RNA